rnacentral:lncRNA from 1 species
GCCUGUUUAAAAGUCUGGCCUGGCCUUAGAGCCUAUUUAAAAGCCUGUGUUAAAAAUUGUCCUAAAUUUUACUUAUUUUUUUCCCUCUUUCUCCCAACAAUUGGUGCUUCAUUUUCUUGAGUUGAAUCUACAUGCUCAUUCACAUCUUGAAUUGGGUUUGCUUCUCCAUUGCUAUACAGAGAAAAAAACAGAGCACUGUAUCAAAAUAUAGCAUUAUAUCAGUAAUAAAAAACAACCAUGUAUUUGUUAAAAAAAAACUAAGUAUGAAAUCAAAAUAAUACAGAAAUCAUUAAAGAUAACACUAUAUCUGUAAUCAUAAAAAUCAUAUGAAUCAUUGAAAACAUAAAUCAUUAAAACAUAACAUUAUUAACAUGAAUCGCAGAAUUGAAACUUGAAAACAAAAAUAAUUAAAGUGCGAGAUUCAGUUAUCGAAAACUUGAAAUUGAAAUCGCAGAAAGACAGUGAAAGAGAGAUAGCGUGCGAGAGAGAGAGAGAGAGAGAGAGAGAUGGAACCUGAAAGAGUGAGAGCGCCGGCGGAGAGAGUGAGAGUGUCGAGAUCUGUGAGAGACGGAGAGCUGGAGGCGGAGAGAGUGAGAGUGUCGAAAUCUGUGAGAGUCGGAGAGCUGGAGGCGGAGAGAGUGAUAGACGGAGGAGAACUGCGCGAGAGAGUAAGAGUUGGAGGCAGAGAAAAAGAGAUCGACAGACUUAGGGUUUCUAUUUGUGAUUUUUUUUUGUGAUGUAAAUAUUUUGUUUUUAUUUCC